AGAAAAAUGAUGAGAUUCUAAUGGCUGAAUUUAAUGUGGAAUUUUAUAUUAAAAUGGUCUUCGAAGUUCUCUGAUGUCU